CGUCAGUCAGGAGGAGCUGGGACUCGGGGAGGAGGCUUUGCCCAGCCUCCCUUCCACCACCACCUGGCGGAGGGAGCGGGUAGAUACCGCCUCUCACGACACCCUCGUCAUUUAUUUGAUAGUAAAAGGUCCUCCAGUUUUAUGGUGCAGUACUGCCACCAACUGGUGUUGUCCUUCCACUGCAAGGAAAACAAUGCGAAUUGAUGAUGGCGCUAUCUGGCGGGUUGUGCGAGUGUCCAACCGGCUGGCUGGACAACGAGGACAAAUGUUACUACUUCUCCGAAGACACCAAGACAUGGAAGGAGGCUAAUGACCUGACCAGCAUUCUGGGUGAUAACGAGAGGGGAUGGCUGAUGCCUGGCUGGGCCUGACAGAUGAGAAUACAAAGCGAGAGUGGAGCUGGACUGAUGGAAGUCCUCUCCUUCAGUCGCAAUUGUAUGACAAAUUAAAGAAGCGCUCAAAUCUAACAAACGUAGACCAACAGAAUUGCUCAGAUUCUUCCUACUGGUUAUUUGUUGCUAAGUAGAUUUCAAAGGGCUCAAUGAUGAAAACACCACAGAAUUAACGUAGUUUUUCUUCAUGGAAAAUACAGAUGAGACUAGUUGCAUUUAUUCAAUUAAAAUUAUUACACAAAUGGAAGUCAGACUACUAUAGUAGAUAGAGUACUUGUGUUCUUCCGAUGUUGCUGUGAUGUCAUCAUAGCAAAAUGGGAAGCGCCACUUCCUCAUGCAGAUCAUUAUGCAUGCAUCAUCAUACUAUGCAUAUUCUAACAAUUUUUUUUUUUUUUUGCAUAACUGAUCACUGUUCCCACCUACUGUAUUGUCUAAUUAUGUAAACUGAUAAAAAGAGCUAAUAAUAUUAUAUUCAAAGAACAGCAUGAUGAACCUCCAGAAAUUUGAGGGUUGAUGUUAAUCUUUUCAACUUUUUCUUCUUCACUUUUUUCCUUUACAAUUAUUUCUCCAUUGUAGUUUAAUAGACAGCAUUACUCCAUUUUAGUUUAAUAAACAUAAA